GUGCUUGCUUUGGCAGUACAUAUACUGAAAUUGAACCAAUAUAAAGAUUAGCAUGAUUCCUGUGCAAAGAUGGCACGCAAAUUCAUGAAGCAUCCCAUAUUAAA